CCUACGGGGGGCAGCAGUAGGGAAUAUUGCUCAAUGGGGGAAACCCUGAAGCAGCAACGCCGCGUGGAGGAUGAAGGUUUUCGGAUUGUAAACUCCUUUUGUUAGAGAAGAUAAUGACGGUAUCUAACGAAUAAGCACUGGCUAUCUCCGUGCCAGCAGCCGCGGUAAUACGGAGGGUGCAAGCGUUACUCGGAAUCACUGGGCGUAAAGAGCGCGUAGGCGGGAUAGCAAGUCAGAUGUGAAAUCCUAUGGCUUAACCAUAGAACUGCAUUUGAAACUGGUAUUCUAGAGUAUGGGAGAGGUAGGUGGAAUUCUUGGUGUAGGGGUAAAAUGCGUAGAGAUCAAGAGGAAUACUCAUUGCGAAGGCGACCUGCUAGAACAUAACUGACGCUGAUGCGCGAAAGCGUGGGGAGCAAACAGGAUUAGAUACCCUAGUAGUC
rnacentral:rRNA from 1 species